UCCCGGUUGGCCCGGGCAGUCUCGUCUGAAAAAUACAACAGACGACAAGGGUUGCGCUCGUUGCGGGACUUAACCCAACAUCUCACGACACGAGCUGACGACGGCCAUGCAACACCUGUCACUAGGCUCCCGAAGGCACUCUCCUGUUUCCAAGAGAUUCCUAGGAUGUCAAGCCUUGGUAAGGUUCUUCGCGUAGCUUCGAAUUAAACCACAUAAUCCACCGCUUGUGCGGGUCCCCGUCAAUUCCUUUGAGUUUUAAUCUUGCGAUCGUACUCCCCAGGCGGGAUACUUAACGCGUUAGCUUCUCAGCACAGAGGGUCGAUACUCCAUACUAAUAGUAUCCAUCGUUUACGGCGUGGACUAC
rnacentral:misc_RNA from 1 species